AGUAACACGUGGGUAACCUGCCUUAUAGUGGGGGAUAGCCUUUCGAAAGGAAGAUUAAUACCGCAUAAGAUUGUAGUAUCGCAUGAUAUAGUAAUUAAAGGAGCAAUUCGCUAUAAGAUGGACCCGCGUCGCAUUAGCUAGUUGGUGAGGUAAUGGCUCACCAAGGCGACGAUGCGUAGCCGACCCGAGAGGGUGAUCGGCCACAUUGGGACUGAGACACGGCCCAGACUCCUACGGGAGGCAGCAUG
rnacentral:rRNA from 1 species